rnacentral:lncRNA from 1 species
CUUGACUUCCACUGUAGUCAGUAAUUUUAUCCUAAUAUGCUCCUAUUGCAUCCUGUCAGGUUUGUCUUAGAUGUUUCAAUUCAAAGCUGUUUUCUCACAUUAUAAGAUAAAUGAAAAAUAGUUCGUAUUGCUGAUGAGCUUGACUUCGUUUGCAGUUAUGAACAACGGCCAUGACAGAAGAUUGUGUAUCAACUUCAUAAACCUUAAAAUUCAGUGUCGGAUUUCCAUGUGGGAUCAGACCAGACACUCAUGCUGAGGGCUGCUGGUGUUGCAUACUUGGGCAGAAACAUGACCAACCCAGCGAUGAUGAUGAGCUGAAGCAUAAAUUGUGACUCCGAUUUCAGGCUUGCCCAUUGGGGAUCUUUAUCUUCGUGUCCACCACUGGGCUUAGCAGCACGUCCAAAGAUGGAGGUGACACUGCAGAACAGUUUCAUCAAAGUCACUGGUUAACUGGUGCUUUGUCUGCGUGUGUGGUGGUGGAAGCGCUGGAUCACUGCUCUCCGAGGCACUCGGUGAAGGAGCAAAGCCAAGACCUAAUUUUCAUCUGAACUCCACGCUGCUAAUUAUUACUAGUUAAGUGUCUAUUCUAAUCUUGUUCUCCCUCACGUAUAGUUAAUAGAGACAGAUAUGCUCUCCAGAGGGUACUUCACUUCACUUCCCAUACACAGCCGUCGCAGGAUGGGCCGAAUCACCCUCUGGAAGUGGUUGUCUCUCUGCGGGGGUUACAUGAAUAGCUGAGAUGAGAUGCUGGCAUCUCGCCUUGUCAAGCAGGCAUUUCAGCUGGAUCUGGUUGUGGGCUUCCUAGAGCACAUGGGGUCCUCACUAAGCAGCUUCUAACACAUCGUAAGGUCAUUUUUUGAUGGGAAAAAGGACUGUGGAGUGUGUGCACAAAUACAGGAUGAGUAAAUGUUAACUAGUAAGUCAGUCAUUGGUCUUGGUUUGCAGGUCCAAGAGUUGCCCACAACGCAUCUGUUCAAGGAGGCUGAGGGUCCAUGCAGUGGAGAAAAUGGAAUCCGGGGCUCCCAUUUGCUCGAAUCAUUGCACCUCCAGGCAAAUUAAGAGGAACAGGAAAAACAGGAUUUGGAAAUAACCUGACACAGCCCUCAGUCUAGGGCAAGAAGCGGUGUUGAGAAUAGAAGAAUGUGAGGGAAGUGGUGUGCCUUCAUUAAAUUCAAUAGAAAGCAAAUUUUGGAGUGUUCGUAUGGUGUUAACAUUUCUUAUCGUUAUCAAACGUUAUCUAUGAGGUAGGGUAGUUUUUCUUUUGCCUUUUUUAUUUCUUUCUUUUUGUAUUUUCGACUUGUUGCUGAAUGAGGAUGUGCAAUGCUCCGAGUUUAAAAAGCAGCUGAAGAGUCAAUUUUAGCACUCCUGUUGAGGCCCAUAUGGUGGAAAGAACUGAAGUAUAAAGGAACGCUCAUCAUAUGAUUGUAUGAGAUAAAAUAUUCAGGCCAGCGCAUUAUUUACUCCUUUUUAAAACAGAAUAAUGGUUGCAGUGGAGGGACAAUUCCACUGCUUUAUUCACAUGGUGAAUGCUUAGGCCAUGCUGGGACAUGCGCAACGGAUGGAAGAUAAAGUGUUUUGAAGAAAAUUGGCCUAAAUAUCUCUGGGACAAGAAACCUGUGCUCUAAAGAGAUGAAUUUUGUGAAGUAAUGACACUGGCUGGCCUGUCGCUAUGUUACAUAGCAUAUUACCUCUUAAGGUGAAAUAACUGAUAAAAGCCAUUUUUCUACAAUAGAAAUAAAUAAUACAAUAAAAAGAGUUAAAUGAAGGAG